CAAAUUUCAAAUUUCGAACUCAGUGCUGUUUUAAUACAUGGCACUCGAAUACUCUACACUUACAUCAAAAUAUCAAAUAUUUUACGAGUAUUCAAUUUAUAGUAUUUGAGUGCAUUUAGAAUUCGGAGGCAAAUCGGCGGAUUUUCACAAACAUUUGAGAUUCGUCUUAAACUAUUCUAAAAUUGUGUCAGUGUUUAAUAAUACUUUCUUCAAUCACACUCAUUGAUAAUGCGAACCAAAUAUAAUUUGACCAAAUCAAUCGUGACAUGAUGUUACAGCAGUCCUUGUUCCUACACAAACAUUAUCAAUUCGUGGAUGCUUGAAACGUGACAAAUGUAAUGAAACUGUAAGCCGGCAGCUUGAUAGUUGAUGAUUUAUAGCACCGGUUAAGCGAUAAUGAGAACGACUUCAUUGGAGUACAAGCAUUUUGAUUUUUAUCCUAUGCUGAACCUAAGCAAAUAUAUGUGAUUUUAUGGAGAACAUUGGUGGUAGAUAGUGCCAAAUACAUAACUUGUAGCAUCAAGUUGUGUCCAAGAUGCAGAAGCAACAUGCGACAAAACAUGAGUAAAAGAUAUACAACUAAUAUACUGGAUAAUAUUUCAAAUAUAAUAUUGAAAUCAUUUAAGCUUGAAAAUAUGGUGGAAUAAAAUGUGAAUAUGACUGAUCCAUUUAUGGCCAAUAAGUAGUUCGUAUGCAACCAUAUAUGUACCAACAACAUUAGAAUUGUUAAGAUGUUUAACUUUGAACCAAUAAAGCUGUUGAUUGAACAUGUAAUAUUAUGUAAUGCAGGAAUGUCAUUUUUCAUCUCAUCGUUGCUAAAAUAAAAACACUAUCGAUCAACAAUUAUUCACAAGAUUUCUGCUAAUGUAUGUCACUUAAAUCCAAUCAAAACAAAAUAAGCCCUUUAAAAAAGGUGUCCUCUUAAAAAAUUUCUCAGUAUUUCUGGGUUUCUGUAGUGAUUAAAAUAAAGUAAAGGUAUAAUAAAAUAUUAUGUAUACAUGAAAAAUUACAUAGGUAUA
rnacentral:lncRNA from 1 species